rnacentral:rRNA from 1 species
UAGAUACCCUAGUAGUCGGAGCAGAAAAUGAUGAAUGUCAUAGAUUAGAUUAAGUUUAUUCUAUAAAUGAAAGUGUAAGCAUUCCACCUCAAGAGUAAUUUGGCAACAUUGGAACUGAAAUCAUUAGACCGUUUCUGAAACCAGUAGUGAAGUAUGUUGUUUAAUUUGAUAAUCCGCAAAAAACCUUACCAUAACUUAAAUAGCCCGAAUUUUUAAAACAAUUAGGGUAUCUAUGAUUUAAAUAAAAGCGUUGCACGGCUGUCUUCAGUUAAUGUCGUGAGACUUUGGUUAACUCCAGUAAAUUAACGUAAACCCUUACUUUAUUUUUACAUAAAGUUGUUCCCCACUAUAUUGGAUAUGAUAACAGGGAUCAAGACAAGUCACCAUGG